UCAUACCAUGUGUGCCACAGCAGUCUCACCUUUCUGCAUGAGUAUGGGAUGCUCAGCCUCCUCUGAGGAUUGGAGACCAGGGAAAGGAAGAUGUGGUUAUUUGAAAGCGCUGCUGGGCCAAUUCUCAGGUUGGACAAGAAAAAAAUGACCUGAAUUAGUUGAGGAUUGGAAUCAAUCUUUAAAUAUGGUUCCUGUCACUGGAUGGUCGACACUUAAGAUGAACACUUACUAAGAAAUAAAUGUUUAUAGAGAAUCAUUCCAUACUAAAAUAAUGAAUAAGAAGCUGCGAGGAAGUCGUGUUUUGUAACAAGAAUUCUGGACUUUGAAUUCCACUGUGAAAUUUCAGGAAAAAGUAAAAUUGC
rnacentral:lncRNA from 1 species